rnacentral:rRNA from 1 species
GGGCCCGCACAAGCGGUGGAGCAUGUGGUUUAAUUCGAUGCAACGCGAAGAACCUUACCUACCCUUGACAUCCUCGGAAUCUGCCGGAGACGGCGGAGUGCCUUCGGGAACCGAGUGACAGGUGCUGCAUGGCUGUCGUCAGCUCGUGUUGUGAAAUGUUGGGUUAAGUCCCGCAACGAGCGCAACCCACGUCUUUAGUUGCCAGCAUUAGUUGGGCACUCUAGAGAGACCGCCGGUGACAAACCGGAGGAAGUGUGGAUGACGUCAAGUCAUCAUGCCCCUUACGUCCUGGGGCUACACACGUACUACAAUGCUACGGACAAAGGGCAGCAAGUUCGCGAGGACAAGCAAAUCCCAUAAACCGUGGCUC